rnacentral:rRNA from 1 species
AUUGAACGCUGGCGGCAGGCCUAACUCAUGCAAGUCGAACGAGUGGCGGACGGGUGAGUAAUGUCUGGGAAACUGCCUGAUGUAGGGGGUUAACUACUGGAACCGGUAGCUAAUACCGCAUACCAUCAGAUUUGCCCAGAUGGGAUUAGCUUGUUGGUGGGGUAACCGCUCACCAAGUCCACGAUCCCUAGCUGGUCUGAGAGGAGGACCAGCCACACUGGAACUGAGACACGGUCCAGACUCCUACGGGAGGCAGCAGUGGGGAAUAUUGGACAAUGGGCGCAAGCCUGAUGCAGCCAUGCCGCGUGUAUGAAGAAGGCCUUCGGGUUGUAAAGUACUUUCAGCGGGGAGGCGUUACCCGCAGAAGAAGCAACGGAUAAAGAAGGGACAGCAGCCGCGGUAAUAC